UCCUGCCAGUAGUCAUAUGCUUGUCACAAAGAUUAAGCCAUGCAUGUCUGAGUACCUGCCGACCUUAGGCGAAACCGCGAAUGGCUCAUUAAAUCAGUCACGCUUUACGGGAUCUUGUGCAAAGCUUACUCGGAUAACUGUGGUAAUUCUAGAGCUAAUACGUGCAACUAGUCUCCAACCCCGACCUUGCCUCGUGCUCGGUCGGGGGAAGGGCGCAUUUAUUAGAACCAAAAACCGGGUGUGGACAGUCGGGUUGGUUGGCAAUCUGCUGUUGUUAUGCCGUUGACUGCUUUUUCAGUUCCUACUUGUAGGCUAUGGGGCAGCUUCAGCAUCUUCAGCAGCAGUAUUCGUCCUCCUUACCCGUCCCAUUCCUCUUCGGUUAUGUGGUGACUCCGGAUAUUUCUACAGCCGAGCGCUGAGGCCUUUGUGCCGGCGCCGGAUCCCACGAGUGUCUGCCUUAUCAGCUUUCGAUUGUAGGUUAUUCGCCUACAAUGGCUGUAACGGGUAACGGGGAAUCAGGGUUCGAUUCCGGAGAGGGAGCCUGAGAAACGGCUACCACAUCUAAGGAAGGCAGCAGGCACGCAAAUUACCCACUCUCGGCUAGAGGAGGUAGUGACGCGAAAUAACGAUGCGGGACUCUUCCGAGGCCUCGCAAUCGGAAUGAGUUCAGUGUAAAGAAAUGGACGAGGAUCCAUUGGAGGGCAAGUCUGGUGCCAGCAGCCGCGGUAAUUCCAGCUCCAAUAGCGUAUAUUAAAGUUGUUGCGGUUAAAAAGCUCGUAGUUGGAUUUCUGAUACGGACCGAAAGCCCACCUAAGGCGCGCUACUCGUCUACGGGGAGCUGCGUCCCGAAGUGGUUCUUCUCGUGUCUUCCGGCAAAGGGCCGUUUGGGUAAACGGCGGCGUCAAAAGUUUGUUGCAAAAUUGCCGUUGUUAGAUCAAAAGUGCACAGUCCAGCAAAGCACUCUUUCCCGGCUUCAGGGGUCGUCGUACGCGCCUCUCGCAAGGCGGCGUCNACGCGUUGUGUUUCUCUUUCGCCGUUGAGCAAGGCGGGUUUAGCGAGGGUCGAUCACGUAGAGACAUCCUUUUUGAGAGGCUCUCCCGAUCGAUUCCCGUCGUUGGCGCUGUUAGCUGUAGCGUGGCAUUAUUUCGAGAGCGGUGUUUCUGUCUGUUGUUGUUACUAUCCUUUUCCCGGAUAGAGUCGGGUUUGUAUCUGCAGCAUAACAGGCGAUCGCCUCUCCCCCGUAAACCCUCUCAUUUUCGUCCGUUGUCUAGCUCGUCCACCCGAGUUUUCGGCGCUUCCGUACGCAAACCGUUUGGCUUACCCCGUCUUGUAGACGGGUCGGCCUUUCGGGGCGGAGUGUUCGAGCUGCUCGGGUGUGACACAAACGCAGGGGAGCGAUGACAGCGGCGGGUGAUGGUUCGGGUGGACGCGAUUCGCGCUGAUGUUGUUAGUGCUCUCUCGCUCUGUUCAAAAAGGGGACUGGUCUUAGCAGCAGUAGCAGAUCCCGCGAUACAAACUCGGGUAUUUGUCUCGCUGCAAGCGCACGUCAACGAUACGACGGGGUCGGUCAAUGAAAGGGUUUGCCAUUACUCUUAGGUUUCUCUACCGGCUUUACCGCACCCGUGUUUGUGGCGAUUGCAGGCANUGCGCGCUNUUCGUCGUGCUUCGGAGGCGCCUCUGCGGCGAUUUUCCGGCUGUUCNGGGGAUGUUCUUGCUGGGUAAAACUGUGUCGNUUCUUCUUCGGUUUNGCCUCAAAUCGUCGUCGUCGUGUAUCCCCUCUCGGUUUCCCGCGUCGAAGGCGAUGAAAGCGGGAAGGUUUAAAGGCCAUUCGGGUUUAAAACGCAUUUGCUCUUUCUAGGGACGGGUCAGCGUACCCGGUGGAUCACUGCGGCUCCGUGUUUAGAAAGUGGUCGGAUUGGCGCGGGGUGCUCUUCACCGAGUGUCUCGCGUCGCCGACAAGUUCACUUUGAAAAAAUUAGAGUGCUCAGAGCGGGCUCAAAUUUUUACGUCCGAAUGGUAGCGCAUGGAAUGAUGGAACAGGACCUCGGUCCCGCCUUUUUUGCCCGGUUUUUCGGAACCGAGGUAAUGAUUAAAGGGGACGGACGGGGGCAUUAGUAUUGCGGGGCGAGAGGUGAAAUUCUUGGACCCUCGCAAGACUACCUACUGCGAAAGCAUUUGCCAAGAAUGUUUUCAUUAAUCAAGAACGAAAGUUAGAGGAUCGAAGGCGAUCAGAUACCGCCCUAGUUCUAACUAUAAACUAUGCCAACUAGCGAUCCGUCGGCGUCAUUCCCACGACUCGACGGGAAGCCCCAGGGAAACCAAAGUUUUUGGGUUCCGGGGGUAGUAUGGUUGCAAAGCUGAAACUUAAAGGAAUUGACGGAAGGGCACCACCAGGAGUGGAGCCUGCGGCUUAAUUUGACUCAACACGGGGAAACUCACCAGGCCCGGACACUGGAAGGAUUGACAGAUUGAGAGCUCUUUCUUGAUUCGGUGGUUGGUGGUGCAUGGCCGUUCUUAGUUGGUGAAGCGAUUUGUCUGGUUCAUUCCGGUAACGAGACGAGACUCUACCCUGCUAACUAGUCGGCGGAUCGACUCCCGAGGUGGGGUUUCCGUCCGCGUGGUUUUCGGGCGGGGGUCGCCUAGAGCCGUCGUAGCUCCCGCGCGGUGUCUAAGGCCUCUGCUGCCGCUUUCUGCUUCAGGUGUAGCGCUGGACUGAUGAGGGUUGCGUUCCGCGUAGCUCUCCGCUCAGUCUUGUUCACUGCCUGAGGUAGGUUAGUAGUUCGCGGAGGUACAUUCUCGCUAAGGGGUCGAAGCUGCGGCGGUUUUCCAGGUCCCCGUCUUGCCUCGCGCGUCGGGCCUCAGCGAGGGGCGUCCGUCGUAAUAUCUUCUUAGAGGGAUCGGCGGCGUCUAGCCGCAAGAGAAAGAGCAAUAACAGGUCUGUGAUGCCCUUAGAUGUCCUGGGCAGCACGCGCGCUACAAUGUAGGGAUCAGCGUGCUUUCCCCCUCCGAGAGGAGCGGGUAACCCGGUGAAACCCCUGCUCGAUUGGGAUUGGGGAUUGUAAGUGUUUCCCAUGAACGAGGAAUUCCCAGUAAGCGCAAGUCAUCAGCUUGCGCUGAUUACGUCCC
rnacentral:rRNA from 1 species